rnacentral:rRNA from 1 species
CCAGUAGUCAUAUGCUUGUCUCAAAGAUUAAGCCAUGCAUGUCUAAGUAUAAGCAAUUUAUACAGUGAAACUGCGAAUGGCUCAUUAAAUCAGUUAUCGUUUAUUUGAUAGUUCCUUUACUACAUGGUAUAACUGUGGUAAUUCUAGAGCUAAUACAUGCUUAAAAUCUCGACCCUUUGGAAGAGAUGUAUUUAUUAGAUAAAAAAUCAAUGUCUUCGGACUCUUUGAUGAUUCAUAAUAACUUUUCGAAUCGCAUGGCCUUGUGCUGGCGAUGGUUCAUUCAAAUUUCUGCCCUAUCAACUUUCGAUGGUAGGAUAGUGGCCUACCAUGGUUUCAACGGGUAACGGGGAAUAAGGGUUCGAUUCCGGAGAGGGAGCCUGAGAAACGGCUACCACAUCCAAGGAAGGCAGCAGGCGCGCAAAUUACCCAAUCCUAAUUCAGGGAGGUAGUGACAAUAAAUAACGAUACAGGGCCCAUUCGGGUCUUGUAAUUGGAAUGAGUACAAUGUAAAUACCUUAACGAGGAACAAUUGGAGGGCAAGUCUGGUGCCAGCAGCCGCGGUAAU